GGCUCAUGGAGACACUUUAAACUGGAAGCAAGAGACCCCAGGGAAGAGUGUUCUUAGGCAGAGGGAACAUAACAUGCUAGCGUGCUAUGAGGGGACAUUGCUGUGCAAGUGGCAAAAAGAGUCCUGUCCCAGCACUGCCAGGGUAAGAUAAAGGCUGGUCAUCUGUGCAUGCGUUCAUCUGAGUGGAACGUGAGUCCCGGGGGCUGCUGCCACCGUGCCGGUCCCUCCUGUCAUCCGAGCCCGUGUCAGAGGACGCGGCGCCUGCAAGGAAGAAGGGUUGCCGCAGGUGUGGCCAGAUCCUCUAGGCAAGAGGUGUGGAUUCAGGUCCUACUAGUCUUACUCCUGAUGAAGCUGGGCAAAUCAGUUGGCUCUGGAGUAAUUAGUAGCCCCUUCCUCACUGACCAUUGCAAGGUGAUCUUCUCAACAUAUACCUCAGUUAACAUUGUGCGGAUGGCCGCCUUCUCCUCUCCUGGAAAUAUGCAAAUUGACAACACAUUUUAUCCUUCACAGGAAACAACAGAGUGAGGUCAUAACAGGACUCUUCUUCCCAGAAACUUCUUCUCAGACUUCCACUCAGAGGUCACUGGCCAGAAAUGAUGACAUAUGGAUUCCUUAAUUUCAGAGAAACAGAAAAAUAAGCAUCAUCUGCUAAAAGAGAAUGGGGUUAUACUGACUGGCUGAGGACAUUCAUGCCCGAGCCACUAGGUCUGGGCAAAUUGGGCACUUUCAAAGUGCAUCAUGAAAGUGUUCUUAAGAAAAAGGUGGGGUAUGUGGAUUCUGGAUAAGCAAAGUGUCUGCCACACUGAAAUCCUUAUCUAGUUUCCUAAAAUCCUAGAUUAGAAAAUUCAAAUGGCUUCACUUGUGUGAUUAUUGUCUCUGCUAUAUGCUUCAGAAGAAAAUAAAAGUAUGUUCAUAACAUUCAUUUUAAAUCU
rnacentral:lncRNA from 1 species